GACUUCCGCUGUCCGCUCAGCAGCGGGUGCUUCUCCUGUGUCCCCAAUAGAGGGCAGUAGGAGCCUGCGCACCUAUUGGCUGUUUUGGUUCUUUCUGCUACGAAAUUUGAACCCUAUUAAAGGCAGAAGAAUGUUUCCAAUCUGAAGUGGUUCCACAUCACUCCAUCAGCUGCAGCGGCGCCUCCCUGUGUACAGAUGGGGGCUGUGAUAGGAACUAAAUCACCCACUCAGGGCCGCUUUGUUUAUGAUACGCUGACCCCGUUCCUCACAGUCUGAGUGUGUGUUCAGACCUAGAGAGAUCCCUGACCAAAGUUCCUCCACAGAUCUUUUUGUGAGAGUACAGGAUGUUAACGUGAACAUCUUGGCCAGGUUCCGUUUGAGUAAUUAUGUUCUGCCUUCCUGAAUUCCCCUCUAAUUUCGAGUGCGUGUGAGAUGCCUCACUUCCAGGCCUGCCUAUGACCAAUGAGUGCCAUUUGUAUCACAACACCUUGCUGCCUCCCAUCUAAAGGUGGUUCCAUUUCACUGACAGAUGUUUCUUUCCCCUGCCGAGGGGUCUCGGUGCUCCAACUGCCACAGUGGCAUUUACUGAAUGAAAUUGUCCUAUACAUUUCAGCUAGAGGUAAUUCCUCGCUUAAAAAUGAGUAACCUCCCUCUGGUGAAUGUUUCAUCACCGUAGUGCUUAACGAUGAAUGCAUUGUUAUCCUAUACCAUCUUGAAGAAGCCAGACCCUUUUGAUUUCCUAGGAAACCGUUCCCCAUCAUUUUGUUUUGAUAGGGAACUGAUAACUUGUUCCUAAACAACUUCAACCUGGAGAAUUAUCUAAAGUUUCACAUAAGGGCCGUGAUGGUUCCCAAAGUUUCACUGAUCCGUUGUUGAUCAUGAAGCAAUCAUUCUAUUGCUUUGAAGCUCCGCUUUUUUCUGCUCAAAGAAAGGCAAAUAUUAUUUAUCUGCCUUCAGUUGAAGCAUGUGUGCUUAAUCAUUUGGUGAGCAUCACCCAUUUCGAGCUCUCUGGAUUCAAGGUUCUGCAGCAGCAAAUGCCAAACAUGAAUCAUAAUCCGUGUUUUCCAUAAUCACUGCUGUUAUGAUAACGAUCGAUGUUGUUCACUUGUAGGUCAGGUGAGUAUUUCCAGGCAUCAUGCUUCUGUUGGGUUUUACCUCGUUUUCUACAGACUAAAUUGGAGGGGCAGCAGGCAAUCUGCUGGCCUCAGGUGACCCAAAUAAAAGGACAGGCAAUUUAGCCUGAGCACCACAGGUGGAAUCCUCAAUAAACCUGCUGAACCCAGAGUUUUUUUUUUCCCUUUUCGUUUCCUCUCCUGCCUGGUGAAGGACAGGAUGACCUCCUUUGCGAUGAUUGACGUGGAGCUAUUAGUACUUACAAAUUAAUUCCAGCGUGUUUCUGAGUCAGAAAGAGUAAAGGUCACUCUUCUUCCUGGUUUAUUCCCCUGAUACUAGAUAACGAACUCCAUCACCAGGAUUCUGCUCCCAUUCACCUCUCCAUCCCGUGCUUCCCAAAGGAUAAUUGGCACACAGCUAUCAGUGGCCAUGAGUGGCCUAAUGACAUCACCAAGAGAUGAGCUAUGACAUACCAGUUUCUCUUUACUGUUCAUCACUUUCACUCAGAGCCUUUCACUGCUUCCGCAUUCGACAUUUGUAUGAUUGCCUUUUAUAUCCAAAGUGCAGCAUGCCUGGUGUUAGAAUGUUAUUAAGCUAUUACUUUGCAAGAUGGAUGUAUGCCUUCAGAAGCCAUUAUAAAGGCUGUGGUUUUGUUGCUGUUGAAAUCCCAUUAAAGAAAGGUAAUCCUUACAGUUAAUCAUUCUUCACAGAGAUCAUUUGGAAUUUCAAAGCACGUUUUUGUGCAGUCAGAUUGAGGCUGAAUGGAGCAGCAAUUUGUUUUCCUUCCGUGAGACCCAAAGUGAGCCUUGCUGGAUGGUCUGAUGUGCUCAUUUCUUUCAGCCAAUAUUCCUCCGCAUGACCUACAGGUAUUGCCCCCAGCACAGCUGAGCCUUUCAGUGAUGAAGUGUUUCCUGCCCUAUAGAGAUCACUACACAACACAGAUGACUUUAGGAUUUAUGUCUGCCAGGGCAGACUCUGGGCAACUUGAAAAAUAAAUAUAUCUACGACAUUAUCAGAAAAAAGACAGAAAGACUGCAUGAUUUCCAAUAGCACCCAGAAUAACAGCACGGCAUCCCAUCUCACAGUUUGCACUGAAUAUUCAUGACGUGUCCCAGAGAAUCUUCCCUUGAGGGGUGCUCGGGGCGUAUUCUGAAGCCUGUGACAGAUUAAAGUGGGCCUGCUCUUGUUCAUCACAACAGCAAGAAAAUACAAUCUUACUCUAUUUGUACUCCAAUAUUGUAUUUAAUGUGUAACAGAUAUAUACAGCAGAUGACACUCUUGAACAAAGAACAAACCUAGCCGCAGGGGGAAAGCGGGGCAUGGGAAGCAGAGGAUGUCUUGAAUUGAGUUUCACAGGUAAUUGCUGCUGAUCUAUCAAGUCAAAGUCUAUGUUCAGGCUGCUCACGUUUGCUGCCAAAACCUUCUGGAAGACUCCACUGAGGAGUGCCAGAGGUGGAGAGGAGAAUCGGGGUGUUUUAUGUUAAGAUGCUUUUCAAAACUAAGUAAUAAAAAAUGCAUUACU
ensembl:lncRNA